GGGAUCUUCGGACCUUUCGGUUAAGGGAGAGUCUAUGGGAUAUCAGCUUGUUGGUGGGGUAAUGGCCUACCAAGGCUUUGACGUCUAGGCGGAUUGAGAGAUUGACCGCCAACACUGGGACUGAGACACUGCCCAGACUUCUACGGAAGGCUGCAGUCGAGAAUCUUUCGCAAUGGACGAAAGUCUGACGAAGCGACGCCGCGUGUGUGAUGAAGGCUCUAGGGUUGUAAAGCACUUUCGCUUGGGAAUAAGAAAGAUUGGCUAAUAUCCAAUCGAUUUGAGCGUACCAGGUAAAGAAGCACCGGCUAACUCCGUGCCAGCAGCUGCGGUAAUACGGAGGGUGCUAGCGUUAAUCGGAUUUAUUGGGCGUAAAGGGCGUGUAGGCGGAAAGGAAAGUUAGAUGUUAAAUCUUGAGGCUCAACUUCAAGCCGGCAUCUAAUACUAUCUUUCUAGAGGGUAGAUGGAGAAAAGGGAAUUCCACGUGUAGCGGUGAAAUGCGUAGAUAUGUGGAAGAACACUAGUGGCGAAGGCGCUUUUCUAAUUUACACCUGACGCUGAGGCGCGAAAGCAAGGGGAGCAAACAGGAUUAGAUACCCUGGUAGUCCUUGCUGUAAACGAUGCAUACUUGAUGUGGAUAGUCUCAACCCUAUCCGUGUCGUAGCUAACGCGUUAAGUAUGCCGCCUGAGGAGUACACUC
rnacentral:rRNA from 1 species